rnacentral:lncRNA from 1 species
AUCUAACAAGCGUUUCCAACUCGCCGAAUCAUUACUAGUGCAGGCAUUUUAUUCUAAGCUGCUUUUUACUAAAACGUGCUCUUGUCGCUCUGAACCUUUAGGACUACAAUACCCAGAAGUCUCUGGGAGUCGCCGAGCCCUGUAGUUUAGGGUUGUUUUGCGGCCAGCGAGACGCCGGAAGUCUGGGAAUAAGGCGGGACCAGGGAAAAAGCAGGAUUCCGAUUGGUGAAGAGGCCACAUGGCCUUCUUUAAAGGACGGGAUAGAGUUGCACACGCGCAUUGAGGCGUGUCUUCCCUGGUUCUGCGUCCGUGAAGCCUAGAGAUUCCCGAGCCUGGGUCACCCGGGCGGUGUCGCAUGUCGUCUGCGGGGAGGUUGGGGCUGCUCGCGCGAGGCGCUCUGGGUCUCAUUUCCGAGGCCGAAAAUGCUGGCUCCAAAGUGGUGCCCUGGGAGAUGAGGGCGACUCGCAGAUUCCACCCUAUUCUCUGAAUGGGCUUCGAGUCUCCAUGGUAACGGCCCCUCCCAGUUCCCCUGUGACUUCAUAGCUGCCCACGGGAGGGGAGAAAGCUGAUGUGAAGGGGCUGUGGGUUCUCAGCCAAGCUCUGUCUUUGAGGCCACCUACCCUAUACCACUCGUCCCGGAAAGGGUGGUGGUUGUGAGAAUUAAGGGAACCUCAGAGCAAUGGCCAGCACACAAUGACCCUUCAAAUGUCAGCGGCUUUGAUGAUCACCAUUCUUACCUUUUCUUUGGAGAUUUGGACAAGUUACCGCCCCACCUUCCUCCAGGGUCUUUGUGUAUUGAUCUGCAGGUUGGAUGUAUUGGAUGUUACGACCACUAAACUUUCUUCUGAGCACA